CGAGCCGCGCGCUGAUUGGGCGGCGCGGCCGCCAGGUGCGCUGCCAUUGGCAGAGGCGCGCACAGGUGAGGAAGGAGCCGCCACCGAGCGCCAGCAGGGGAAAGCUGGAAGAGAAUGGAAAAGCUGGAAUGGAGCAUUUAUCGAGGCUCAGUCAUGCGGAGAUGAAGUGAAUGGAGAGGACUGCAGAUCCAUCAGUCACCCUUCAGCCCAGUACAACCUACUGUGUAUUUUGCCAGAGGACCAAAGCGGGCUUACAAGGGACAACCAGAGCGGGCUGUGGGGGCAGCAGCUUUGACCCUGAUGGAGAAGGCGGGGAUGGGGACGGGGACCUCCGUGGGUCAGUUUGAGAACAGGUAGUGGAAGGGUAGCAACGAGGCUCCUACCUGCCAUCACCCAUUCUCAGUCCCCGUUCAUCAGAGACAGGCCAGGACUGCAUUAAUUCUUCCUGCUGCCCCCGGCCCUCCUGGAAACAGCUUUGUGUGCUGGGCAUCCAGCUUGACUGCUGACAACCUCUGCUGUACAGAUCGUGCUGAAUGUGUGAAGAAUGUACCACUAUGUGGGGUAGACCAUUAUGUAACUUAGCCAUCUUUGCAAGAUAAUUACCUAAAUUAUUACAAACCCAUCAAAUUUAUAAGGUCUUAGGGAAUUUUCCAUUUUCUACAUUUGAUUUUGUAAAAUCAUAGAAUAUCCUGAGUUGGAAGGGAUGCUCAAGGAUCUUCAAGUCCAACUUCUGAACAGGGGAAUUUCCCUUGUUCAGGGAGAAUGUAGUAGGAGGGAUAUUAAUGGAAAUACAUAUUUGUAUAACCAAAUAUAUAUGUAUACACACAGACACACAUACAUAUAUACGUAGGUAUAAAACAUGUUAUGGUCUGGACCCUCAUCUUCAUUUGCCUACUGCUGCAGUUGAAAUCAAGCUUGAUUUCAAACUCUGCUAAGUCUGUGGUAUUAUGGGAUCACAAUCAGGCACAAAUAUCUAUUACUGGGUAUCAUUCCUUAUCUGUGUUCAUAGUAACUAAUCAAAUAAAAAAAAAUCAGUAUAAAUCAGUUUUAACAUAGUCCCAUUAAGAUUUGUCACUUUUACUAAACAGAAAUAGAAAAAUACUUUUCCUAGAUCAAUGACUCUUUGAACACAAGAUAUUAGUUAGCCAAUCUCUUUGUCCAUUUACCAGUUCAUAGGAAAGAAACAUACAAUCUGUGAAUCCAGUUAAAAUUUGUCAGUGAGGCCAUUGUUCAUGGCAAUGCUUGCAUGAAUUGUUUUGUAUGGCACAUUUUGAGGAAGCUAUAAGGCUUCAUAAAACACAAGAGAAACAGAGUUACUUAUUCAUAGCAAAUGAUGCUGUCAUUUUGAAUACAUAAUUCUAUACAAUCUUAAAAUAAAUUGGGCCUCUCAAAUACA